CUGAAGUACAUAAGCAAACUAAAUUGGAGCCUUCCCUGCAGUGCCCCCUAGUGGCACAAAUGCAUAUUUCUCUUGUUUAAGAACUGCCUUGAAAAGUACAGCGUUACUUGAAU